AAUCAACGCUGGCGGCGUGCCUAACACAUGCAAGUCGCACGAGAAAGGGCUUUCGGGCCCGAGUAAAGUGGCGCACGGGUGAGUAACACGUGACUAAUCUACCUUCGAGUGGGGAAUAACCUAGGGAAACCUGGGCUAAUACCGCAUAACACUUACGAGUCAAAGCAGCAAUGCGCUUGAAGAGGAGGUCGCGGCAGAUUAGCUAGUUGGCGGGGUAAUGGCCCACCAAGGCAAUGAUCUGUAUCCGGCCUGAGAGGGCGCACGGACACACUGGAACUGAAACACGGUCCAGACUCCUACGGGAGGCAGCAGUGGGGAAUUUUGCGCAAUGGGGGAAACCCGUGACGCAGCAACGCCGCGUGGAGGAUGAAGUCUCUUGGGACGUAAACUCCUUUCGAUAGGGAAGAUUAUGACGGUACCUAUAGAAGAAGCCCCGGCCUAACUUCGUGCCAGCCGCCGCGGUAAC
rnacentral:rRNA from 1 species